AACCCCUGUGACAUACCAAUUGUUGCCUCGGCGGAUCAGCCCGCUCCCGGUAAAACGGAACGGCCCGCCAGAGGACCCCUAAACUCUGUUUCUAUAUGUAACUUCUGAGUAAAACCAUAAAUAAAUCAAAACUUUCAACAACGGAUCUCUUGGUUCUGGCAUCGAUGAAGAACGCAGCAAAAUGCGAUAAGUAAUGUGAAUUGCAGAAUUCAGUGAAUCAUCGAAUCUUUGAACGCACAUUGCGCCCGCCAGUAUUCUGGCGGGCAUGCCUGUUCGAGCGUCAUUUCAACCCUCAAGCCCCCGGGUUUGGUGUUGGGGAUCGGCGAGCCUCACGGCAAGCCGGCCCCGAAAUACAGUGGCGGUCUCGCUGCAGCUUCCAUUGCGUAGUAGUAAAACCCUCGCAACUGGUACGCGGCGCGGCCAAGCCGUUAAACCCCCAACUUCUGAAUGUUGACCUCGGAUCAGGUAGGAAUACCCGCUGAACUUAAGCAUAUCAUAAA
rnacentral:rRNA from 1 species